UACGGAGGGGGCUAGCGUUGUUCGGAAUUACUGGGCGUAAAGCGCACGUAGGCGGUUUGUUGCGUCGGCCGUGAAAACCUGCAGCUUAACUGUGGGCCUGCGGCCGAUACGGGCAGACUUGAGUUCGGUAGGGGAGACUGGAAUUCCUGGUGUAGCGGUGAAAUGCGCAGAUAUCAGGAGGAACACCGGUGGCGAAGGCGGGUCUCUGGGCCGAUACUGACGCUGAGGAGCGAAAGCGUGGGGAGCGAACAGG
rnacentral:rRNA from 1 species